rnacentral:rRNA from 1 species
CAGGGCUUUCGUCUUGUAAUUGGAAUGAUGGUGAUGUACAACCUCACCAGAGUACCAAUUGGAGGGCAAGUCUGGUGCCAGCAGCCGCGGUAAUUCCAGCUCCAAUAGCGUAUAUUAAACUUGUUGCAGUUAAAAAGCUCGUAGUUGUAUUUCAGCCUCGCGUUUUUUCCCUCUUUUCGGGUCUUUUCGCUGGCUUUGUUUUUACUUUGAGAAAAUUAGAGUGUUUCAAGCAGACUUUUGUCUUGAGUACUUCAGCAUGGAAUAAUAAAAUAGGACGUGCGGUUCUAUUUUGUUGGUUUCUAGAGUCGCCGUAAUGAUUAAUAGGGAUAGUUGGGGGCAUUGGUAUUGAGUCGCUAGAGGCGAAAUUCUUGGAUUGACUCAAGACCGACUACUGCGAAAGCAUUUGCCAAGGAUGUUUUCAUUAAUCAAGAAC